rnacentral:misc_RNA from 1 species
AUACCUCCACCGUCCGGGCUUGUCUCGGAGGGCUGGGACUUGGGCUGUGGCGGCCUUCGGGUCGGCUGGCCUGGAAUGCAUUAGCGGGACGUCUGUGGCCCUCCGGUGUAGUAAUGCUAUUCACCGCGAGGCCUCGGGCGGACGGCUUCGAGUCGCGCUCGUCUGCGCAACAUUUCAGU